GACGAACGCUGGCGGCGUGCCUAACACAUGCAAGUCGAGCGAAUGAAGUUCCUUCGGGAAUGGAUUUAGCGGCGGACGGGUGAGUAACACGUGGGUAACCUGCCUCAUAGAGGGGAAUAGCCUUCCGAAAGGGAGAUUAAUACCGCAUAAGAUUGUAGUACCGUAUGGUACAGCAAUUAAAGGAGCAAUCCGCUAUGAGAUGGGCCCGCGGCGCAUUAGCUAGUUGGUGAGGUAACGGCUCACCAAGGCGACGAUGCGUAGCCGACCUGAGAGGGUGAUCGGCCACAUUGGGACUGAGACACGGCCCAGACUCCUACGGGAGGCAGCAGUGGGGAAUAUUGCACAAUGGGGGAAACCCUGAUGCAGCAACGCCGCGUGAGUGAUGACGGCCCUCGGGUCGUAAAGCUCUGUCCUAUGGGAAGAUAAUGACGGUACCAUAGGGGAAGCCCCGGCUAACUACGUGCCAGCCGCCGCCGUAA
rnacentral:rRNA from 1 species